rnacentral:rRNA from 1 species
AUUGAACGCUGGCGGCAGGCCUAACACAUGCAAGUCGAGCGGAGCGGCGGACGGGUGAGUAAUGCCUAGGAAUCUGCCUGGUAGUGGGGGAUAACGUCCGGAAACGGGCGCUAAUACCGCAUACUAUCAGAUGAGCCUAGGUCGGAUUAGCUAGUUGGUGGGGUAAAGGCCUCCAAAGGCGACGAUCCGUAACUGGCCUGAGAGGAUGAUCAGUCACAAUGGAACUGAGACACGGCCCAGACGCCUACGGGAGGCAGCAGUGGGGAAUAUUGGACAAGGGGCGGAAGACUGAUGCAGACAUGGCGCGUGUAUGAAGAAGGCCUUCGGGUUGUAAAGAACUUGCAGCGGGGAGGCGUUACCCGCAGAAGAAGCACCGGCUAACUCCGUGCCAGCAGCCGCGGUAAUUC